rnacentral:siRNA from 1 species
GAUCCAAUGUGGUCUAGGAGUGAC